rnacentral:rRNA from 1 species
UACAGAGGGUGCAAGCGUUGUUCGGAUUUACUGGGCGUAAAGCGUGCGCAGGCGGUUGUGCAAGACAGAUGUGAAAUCCCCGGGCUUAACCUGGGAAUUGCAUUUGUGACUGCACGGCUAGAGUGUGUCAGAGGGGGGUAGAAUUCCACGUGUAGCAGUGAAAUGCGUAGAUAUGUGGAGGAAUACCGAUGGCGAAGGCAGCCCCCUGGGAUAACACUGACGCUCAUGCACGAAAGCGUGGGGAGCAAACAGG